rnacentral:rRNA from 1 species
AUUGAACGCUGGCGGCAGGCCUAACACAUGCAAGUCGAACGAGUGGCGGACGGGUGAGUAAUGUCUGGGCAACUGCCCGAUGGAGGGGGAUAACUACUGGAAACGGUAGCUAAUUCCGCCUACCAUCUGAUGUGCCCAGAUGGGAUUAGCUAGUUGGGGGGGUAACGGCUCACCUAGGCGACGAUCCCUAGCUGGUCUGAGAGGAUGACCAGCCACACUGGAAUUGAGACACGGUCCAGACUCCUACGGGAGGCAGCAGUGGGGAAUAUUGCACAAUGGGCGAAAGCCUGAUGCAGCCAUGCCGCGUGGAUGAAGAAGGCCUUCGGGUUGUAAAGUACGUUCAGCGAGGAGGCGGUACUCGCAGAAGAAGCAGCGGCUAACUCCGUGCCAGCAGCCGCGGUAAUAC